rnacentral:rRNA from 1 species
AGAGUUUGAUUAUGGCUCAGGACGAACGCUGGCGGCGUGCCUAAUACAUGCAAGUCGAGCGGACUUGAUGAGAAGCUUGCUUCUCUGAUAGUUAGCGGCGGACGGGUGAGUAACACGUAGGCAACCUGCCUGCAAGCCUGGGAUAACUGCGGGAAACCGCAGCUAAUACCGGAUACGCAGUUGAGAUGCAUAUCUUAACUGGGAAAGGCGGAGCAAUCUGUCGCUUGUAGAUGGGCCUGCGGCGCAUUAGCUAGUUGGUGAGGUAACGGCUCACCAAGGCGACGAUCCGUAGCUGGUCUGAGAGGAUGACCAGCCACACUGGGACUGAGACACGGCCCAGACUCCUACGGGAGGCAGCAGUGGGGAAUAUUGGACAAUGGGCGCAAGCCUGAUCCAGCCAUGCCGCGUGAGUGAUGAAGGCCCUAGGGUUGUAAAGCUCUUUCAACGGUGAAGAUAAUGACGGUAACCGUAGAAGAAGCCCCGGCUAACUUCGUGUCAGCCGCCGCGGUAA